rnacentral:rRNA from 1 species
GAUCCAGCUAUGCCGCGUGCAGGAUGACAGCCCUACGGGUUGUAAACUGCUUUUAUACAGGAAGAAAAACCCCGACGUGUCGGGGCUUGACGGUACUGUAAGAAUAAGGAUCGGCUAACUCCGUGCCAGCAGCCGCGGUAAUACGGAGGAUCCAAGCGUUAUCCGGAAUUAUUGGGUUUAAAGGGUCCGCAGGCUGUUUUUUAAGUCAGAGGUGAAAUCCUGCAGCUCAACUGUAGAAUUGCCUUUGAAACUGAAAGACUUGAGUUAUUGUGAAGUGGUUAGAAUGUGUGGUGUAGCGGUGAAAUGCAUAGAUAUCACACAGAAUACCAAUUGCGAAGGCAGAUCACUAACAAUUAACUGACGCUCAGGGACGAAAGCGUGGGUAGCGAACAGGAUUAGAUACCCUGGUAGUCCACGCCGUAAACGAUGGA